GGAGGGUACAGCUCAGCAGUAGAGCACAUGCUUAGCAUGCACGAGGUCCUGGGUUCAAUCCCCAGCACCUCCG
rnacentral:tRNA from 1 species